GCCUGAUCCAGCCAUGCCGCGUGCAGGAUGACGGUCCUAUGGAUUGUAAACUGCUUUUGUACGAGAAGAAACACUGCUUCGUGAAGCAGCUUGACGGUAUCGUAAGAAUAAGGAUCGGCUAACUCCGUGCCAGCAGCCGCGGUAAUACGGAGGAUCCGAGCGUUAUCCGGAAUCAUUGGGUUUAAAGGGUCCGUAGGCGGUUUGGUAAGUCAGUGGUGAAAGCCCAUCGCUCAACGGUGGAACGGCCAUUGAUACUGCCAGACUUGAAUUAUUAGGAAGUAACUAGAAUAUGUAGUGUAGCGGUGAAAUGCUUAGAGAUUACAUGGAAUACCAAUUGCGAAGGCAGGUUACUACUAAUGGAUUGACGCUGAUGGACGAAAGCGUGGGUAGCGAACAGGAUUACAUACCCUGGUAGUCCACGCCGUAAACGAUGGAUACUAGCUGUUGGAAGCAAUUUCAGUGGCUAAGCGAAAGUGAUAAGUAUCCCACCUGGGGAGUACGUUCGCAAGAAUGAAACUCACAGGAAUUGACGGGGGCCCGCACGAGCGGUGGAGCAUGUGGUUUAAUUCGAUGAUACGCGAGGAACCUUACCAAGGCUUAAAUGUAAAUUGACCGUUUUGGAAACAGAACUUUCGCA
rnacentral:rRNA from 1 species